GCCGUAAGGGGGGAAGCAGCAGUGGGGGAGGUUUCCGGGAGUGCGGAGGAGCAUUUGGUUACCCGUGUCGGUGAUUGAAUCACCGAAGCUGAAGAGGGAAGUGAAGCAUGGACUGGCGGGGGCGGGGGGGGGUGGGAGGGGUGGACUGGCGGCGGCGGCGGCGGAUGAGAUGGAGAGGAAGAGGAGGAGGGUCUUGACAGCGGCAGGAAGAACCAUUAAAGCGGCUUGGCAAGAAGAAUACAAGAUCAUGUUGCGAUUUCUUUUUCUGAAAAUGAAGAAAACAGCAGCCUCUUAUAAAUUGGAAUUUAAAUGCACAUGUUUUUUUAUGUUUUU
rnacentral:lncRNA from 1 species